rnacentral:rRNA from 1 species
CCCAAGGGGGCACUGCGUUAGUACGGCGAGUGAAGCGGCAAAAGCUCAAAUUUGAAAUCUGGCACCUUCGGUGUCCGAGUUGUAAUUUGAAGAAGGUAACUUUGGAGUUGGCUCUUGUCUAUGUUCCUUGGAACAGGACGUCACAGAGGGUGAGAAUCCCGUGCGAUGAGAUGCCCAAUUCUAUGUAAAGUGCUUUCGAAGAGUCGAGUUGUUUGGGAAUGCAGCUCUAAGUGGGUGGUAAAUUCCAUCUAAAGCUAAAUAUUGGCGAGAGACCGAUAGCGAACAAGUACAGUGAUGGAAAGAUGAAAAGAACUUUGAAAAGAGAGUGAAAAAGUACGUGAAAUUGUUGAAAGGGAAGGGCUUGAGAUCAGACUUGGUAUUUUGCGAUCCUUUCCUUCUUGGUUGGGUUCCUCGCAGCUUACUGGGCCAGCAUCGGUUUGGAUGGUAGGAUAAUGACUAAGGAAUGUGGCUCUACUUCGGUGGAGUGUUAUAGCCUUGGUUGAUACUGCCUGUCUAGACCGAGGACUGCGUCUUUUGACUAGGAUGUUGGCAUAAUGAUCUUAAGCCACCCGUCUUGAAACACGGACCAAA